rnacentral:rRNA from 1 species
ACCUACGGGACGCAGCAGUAGGGAAUUUUCGUCAAUGGGCGCAAGCCUAAACGAGCAAUGCCGCGUGAACGAGGAAGGUCUUCGGAUCGUAAAGUUCUGUUGAAGGGGAAAAAGAGCGGAGAGAGGAAAUGCUUUCUGAUUGAUAUUACCCUUCGAGGAAGUCACGGCUAACUACGUGCCAGCAGCCGCGGUAAUACGUAGGUGGCGAGCGUUAUCCGGAAUGAUUGGGCGUAAAGGGUGCGUAGGCGGCCUGCUAAGUCUGGAGUGAAAGGUACCGGCUCAACCGGUACAGGCUCUGGAAACUG